UACGAAGGGGCUAGCGUUGCUCGGAAUCACUGGGCGUAAAGGGUGCGUAGGCGGGUCUUUUAAGUCAGGGGUGAAAUCCUGGAGCUCAACUCCAGAACUGCCUUUGAUACUGAAGAUCUUGAGUUCGGGAGAGGUGAGUGGAACUGCGAGUGGAGAGGUGAAAUUCGUAGAUUAUUCGCAAAGAACACCAGUGGCGGAAGGCGG
rnacentral:rRNA from 1 species